CGCUUUUUCGCUUUCCCAUACCUCCUCAGUUUUUUUCACGUAGAGGGAGGUAUCUCUCCUGUAGUGUUCAUCAUGCUCGAAAAAGCGGGGCUACCAUUCAGGAAAUCCCUCUACUCUGUUUUCGAAGAGGAAAACGGGCUGACAGAUGUCCCGAUGUUCUUCUCGAUCGAGGUGGAGGGUGCGAACGCCUUAAAAGCAGCAACCCACUCAACCGACCUGCAAGUCCCCGUAGCGCCAACGGUGAACUCGAUCGAGGUAUCUUCUAUAGUCUUUAAGGCCUCCGUAGCAGGAACUUCACUGCGACGAGUGUGCCUCUUCAUGCAGCGCCUUGACUCCGAUGGCAAGGCAGUUGGUCCUCCAGUUCCCCUAGCAGUAACUGACACCGCCCAGUUUUCCGUUCCCGUGAAGCUGAAGCUUUUCACUGGGGAUCGAGUUCGCCUGCUGCUGUUUCAGAGAGGCACUGGACCUGCAGUAAGCGCAGUCAUCUUGAGCGGGUGCAUUCUUAGCAGCGCCGACUGCUAUUUCGCCCCUGGCACUCCACCGGCUUCCCUGCUUUCUUGGACACCCGAGCCAUUCCGCUCUGUUAGAGAGCCAGGAGUGUCCGCGUCUCGGAAGCGGAGUCGCUCUCAGCCGCGGGCUGAGCAGAAUGAAUCUGUGUUCGAUGAUGAGCCUCCCACCCUCGUCUAUGCCCCAGUUUCUGGUGGUGAUGACGAGAGCUAAGCGUGCAGAAAAGCAGGAUAUCUUCUACAGAACCGACUAGCGACAACAAAAAUAGCUGAAAAGACUGUGAAGUAUAUUACUGCCAACGACCAGUAGCCUGCCCAAGUUUUUCCUCAUGUUACUAUUUUUUUUUCUGUCUUUUUGUUGUGGGGUGACCAGGUCUGCAAUUGCUCCUCCUCGAUUGGCAUCCCUCAGUUGCUGAUAGGGGGCUUGCAGGCCCUUUACUGGCAUCACAACUAACAACCUGGCAAUCUUCGUCUCGGCUCCGUCGGGUGAGAAGAGGCGCCAUCUUUCUUGUUGUUAUUGCUCCGGUUGCCAUCUCCGAGGGCCCUAAACUUACACUGGCCGACUCUGUGUUUGGGCUCAUCCGGCAUGCACGUAGAGCGCUCUCUACCAGCACGACGGACGCCAAAGCUUUCACCCGCGAGCACGGCCCUUGGCCAGGCCUGCUUGGUUCACGGCAUUCUGUGCGCCUCGAGUCUUGUCUGGCGCUGAUCGCGCAGCACUU
rnacentral:misc_RNA from 1 species